rnacentral:misc_RNA from 1 species
AAGUCGUAACAAGGUUUCCGUAGGUGAACCUGCGGAAGGAUCAUUAUCCUUUUGCGUAGUGAUUGCUAGCAAGCACUACAAGCGCUAAGCAUUUAUGCUUUGCGUAUAAAUACAUAGUGACUAGGCCUCGUCCAAGUCACUUAUGAAAUCCAUGCUUGCUUUAGCAUGGUCGGGUACCUAUCUAUGUGAAGAGCAAUCUUCAUGUGAUAAGCGGUCACAGCGUUGGCCGUGUGGUGUAAAGAUUAUUCGACUAUUCGAAUAACGCCUGCUUUGCAAACACAACCUAACUUACACUUUAAAUCGCUUGAUUUAAUUUUUAUGUGAACAAAUUGCCUUUCGACUAUCUCUAAGAUAUGACAAAGACAUUUAACAAAAAUACAACCCUAUGCGGUGGAUCACUUGGCUC